AAAAAAAAUCCCUUAUUAAACUUCAUGUCAGAUCCUCAAAUUUUAAACCAUCAUGAAGAUGAAAUAUUAGUACUAAACAAAAAUAAUAAUAAUAGUACUACUUCUAGGCAUAAUAAUAUUGGUGAAGAUUUGUGUCGAACACCAACUUGUCGGAAAAACAAGAUUCCGAUAGCCGGAAGUUGUCCUCCCCCGGCUCCGAAGAAACCGAGGGAAUCAUUACUUAGUAAGAGAAAGUUUCCACAGUUCGAAUUUUUUGAAGUUGGUGGAAAUGAAGAGUUGGAGAAAUUCUUCGUAUCGUGUAAUGAAAUUUCUCGAGGUAUGGCCGUUAAGAAAAGACUUAUCAUGAAUUAAUAUAGUUUUAUCAUAUUCAAAGUAUUAGUUAAUUAAUUUCAUGUGAAUUAUAA
rnacentral:misc_RNA from 1 species